CGCACAGGGCAAACCAUCUGAAAAGGUGGGACGCAAAGCCUCCGGCCUAAACCCAAUUCGGGUAGGUAGCGGGGUUACCGA
rnacentral:ncRNA from 1 species